UACAAUUGCAUUAAGUCUAACUGAACCUAGCAAUAGACCCUUACAUCUAAGUAUUGACUGACAUAGCAACAAGGUGGUUUACAUGCACUUUUAAUGAGGCAUGUAGCAAAAGCAUCAGGUUAGUGUGAAACAUGCAUGCGGCUAGCUGCAGUUUAAGUUUUGUACCUCAGUUAUUUAGGUGUGGCUAGUUUUCUUGUCGACUUCGUGCGUCUUAUAUGGUGAACAUACACAAUGCUAUACGGUAAACAUACACAAGGUUAUAUGAUGCACACACAACAGCAAAGUGUGUGAAUUAGUUACAUAUAUGGUUUCUUAUCUAGAAUAUGGAAUGUUGUCUUCUAACAAAAAGAAUAAAAAAUCUAUGUGUACAAUAUAUUCAUUGCACUAUCUUUGCUUGGGCACUCCGUGUCGUCGAUCAACACCUUUAAUACUUCUAUAUUUGUGACUUUUGAUAAUGCGACAUAUAGUUGCCCAAUGCAGAGGACUUGCUUACGAACAUAAAGGAACAACUUUUUAGGGAUUGACCGUAGCUUUUAUUUAUUGCCAUUGCCACACUAACUCAUGGAGCAUAUUGCCGCCUUUUCAGCACGAAGGGCAGUUUUUUGAGCAUCAAUCUGACUAAGCAUGUUUUUAUCUACUGAUGCUGGACAUCUAUGGGACACUUGAGGCCUACCAGUGAUGCUCACUAAAUGCAAAUACUCAGCAACACCAGAAAGAAGAUAAGUGUUGUUAUUUGGUGUACAUGAUUGAUAUGCAUUUAGUUAUAGGCUAAGCUGGUUGGUAUGCAUUUAUUUAUUGAUGUACAUGAUCAAUAUGAUAAUUUGCUGCCAUAUUUACAAGACACCUUUCUUCCAUUAUACUUCCAGACAUAUCACAGUUUCUCGUAUUUUUGUUUGGUCAAAUUUUAUACUAAUACUGGAUGCAUGAAUACAGCUUGCCAUACAUGUUAUUAGUGAACCAACACUAACACAUAUUUUUUUAGGAAGUAGCCAAUAUAUAACUGAUGGUGGCAGUACAAUACGUAUAUACUGGAUAGGUUCGGGCAAUAUGUAAAACUGAGAAAGAACGAGAGCUAUAGGCAUGGCGUGGUUUGCCAGGUCGUCACCAAGUCCCCAACGCUGUCACCAGCCGGACCUACGACUAUACUAAGAUGAGUCUUCAUCUCUAAAAGCUUCUGUAAACUAUAUAAUGGAUCUAUUAUUCUAACCAGCAAUGAAUUUAAGUAGCAAAUUCGUUUGUCAAUGGUUAGUUGUAUAAUUGCCUGCCAACACUGACACUAAUUGACAGCCAACCAUGACCAUCAAUUUAAUUUCACUUAUUAAUUUCCAACUAUUUUUCCAGAUAAGGCUCAAUAUAUAUGAAGCUAUGAAACUUACAUACGAACAUGACUUGACUCUUGGUUGUGAAUUAUUAAUGGAGAACAUGCAACCAAUGUUUUUGAAUGAUUUUGCACAUGAAUUAUCCGGUUAUUGUUCACUAUGGGUGCAUGUGUAUUAUUGGGUUUGAGCCUUAGGCAUGCAACAAUGAGAUCUAUUUGUAUUGUCUUCUUAACUACUUAAUCCGAAAUCAUUCAUCAAGUUUGAUCUUAAAUAUUAUCACAAUACUUUUGAUACAACAAAAAUUAUUUCAACUUGCCAUGUGGAAAAUCCAGUAAGAGCAUAUCCAUGUGUAUGUUUCCUAUGAAUGGUACGGGAUUUGCAAACUUAAAAGAUAUUAGAUAUUUGACAAAUUUUUUAACCAAAAAUGUUUGAAUUAUUUGUUCUGAUAUGGCUGUUUGACUGAUUGCAAUGAUGAUUGUUCGUAGUUUUUUUCGAACUGUGUAAGCAUAGAUUUACAUUUUGUAGACCCGGUGCAACGCAUAGGGCUUUUAUUACAUGAAAGAACUUAUUAUCCUGACAGUCAUAAUUUCAAGAUUUUCAUAAGUGUUUGUUUAUUUGUUUGUUGUCUGCCAUGUUAGGAAUUGCAUGCAUGCUUUUAUUGAUAUAAAAUGUGCUUCAGAAAAUCACGUGUUAUGAAUCCAUGCUAUAAUUUUGAAGGUGAACAUACAAAAAAUGUAAGAUAAAACAUACUAAUAUAACAACUAUUACAAUUUUAGAGAAGAUAAAGAUCCAGAAUUGUUCGUACCUAGAGGAACUCGCCUUCUAGAUGGUCCUUGCUUACACAAGGUACUCCUUGGGUAAUUUUCCUCCAGGUCUGCUGUUGUGAUGGCCGAACAAACAGCAAGGAGGGGGAGGACGGAUGGCAGACAAGGUUAACAUAUAUAGUUGUAAUAUCUGAGAGACCACACAAGUUCGAUGAAUGCUUUCAAUUCGAGUUUCUCCAUGGUUUCCCAAUGCCAAAGAUUUUAUUAUGAAGCUAAGCUUCUAGACACACAUCUGUUCUGGUUGUUAUGUGUAUGAGUUGACAUUAAGCAUGAAGCUAUUUCGACUGUGUAAAUGUGUUAAUUUAUCAACAAAACCGUGGUGAAUCUACAAUCAGGGGGAGCGUUGAUGUCUUCUCAUGUAAAGCAUGCAGGAAAUAAUUGUUGACUUUCAAUAAGCUUUGAAUAUAAGGUACAUACUGUUGGG